rnacentral:rRNA from 1 species
UAGGCGAUGAAGCAGAAGCCGUAAGGCCCUGUGGAGCGUACAGAAGAGAGAAUGCUGGCAUGAGUAGCGAGAGGUGAGUGAGAAUCUCACCCGUCGAAAACCCAAGGAUUCCUGAGCAAGGCUCGUCCACUCAGGGUAAGUCGGGACCUAAGGCGAGGCUGAAAAGCGUAGUCGAUGGACAACAGGUGGAAAAUCCUGUACCGAUACAAUCGUUGAAGUAAGUGGGGACGCAGGAGGAUAGUAGUAGCGCCCAGUUGGUGAGGCGUGCAAGCACAAAGGAUAAGGAGUAGGCAAAACCGCUUCUUGAUAAGUCUGAAGUGUGAUGCAGAUCGAAAACAAGUAGAGAAAGAUAUGAAUCCACACUGCCAAGAAAAGCCACGUACAAGAGAAGUAUCGCCCGUACCGCAAACCGACACAGGUAGGAAAGGAGAGAAUCCUAAGACGAGCGGAAAAACCUUUGUUAAGGAACUCGGCAAAAUGACCCCGUAACUUCGGGAGAAGGGGAGCCCCUGUAAAAGGGGGCCGCAGUGAAAAGGCCCAAGCGACUGUUUACCAAAAACACAAGUUUCUGCUAAGUCGAAAGACGAAGUAUAGGAGCUGACACCUGCCCGGUGCUGGAAGGUUAAGGGAAAAAGUUAGCGCAAGCGAAGCUUAGAACUGAAGCCCCAGUAAACGGCGGCCGUAACUAUAACGGUCCUAAGGUAGCGAAAUUCCUUGUCGGGUAAGUUCCGACCCGCACGAAAGGUGUAACGAUUUGGGCACUGUCUCAACAAAGGAUCCGGUGAAAUUGUAGUAUGCGUGAAGAUGCGCAUUACCCGCGGCAGGACGGAAAGACCCCAUGGAGCUUUACUGUAGGCUGACAUUGGAUUUCGGUAAAACAUGUACAGAAUAGGUGGGAGACUAAGAACCAAGGGCGUCAGCUUUUGGGGAGUCAAAAAAUGGGAUACCACUCUUGUUUUACUGGAAUUCUAACCCAGGACCAUAGAACUGGUUCGGGGACACUGUCAGUUGGGCAGUUUGACUGGGGCGGUCGCCUCCUAAAGAGUAACGGAGGCGCUCAAAGGUUCCCUCAGCACGGACGGAAAUCGUGCAAAGAGUGCAAAGGCAGAAGGGAGCUUAACUGCAAGACAUACAGGUCGAGCAGAUACGAAAGUAGGACUUAGUGAUCCGGUGGUACCGAGUGGAAGGGCCAUCGCUCAACGGAUAAAAGCUACCCUGGGGAUAACAGGCUUAUCUCCCCCAAGAGUUCACAUCGACGGGGAGGUUUGGCACCUCGAUGUCGGCUCGUCGCAUCCUGGGGCUGUAGUCGGUCCCAAGGGUUGGGCUGUUCGCCCAUUAAAGC